GGGGUGUUAUGGUAGUAGUAUGUAAUAGGAAAAUGAGCCAUAUAUAAAGGGUUAUAAAUGCCCUCCAGAGGAGGUAGGUGAUCGAAUACAUUUAUGAACUCCUACUCCUGGCUCCUACUCCCUUUUGUGCGCUGAAGGGCCUUGCUAGCAGCGAGCGGGGAGGCAUGUCCCAUCCAUUCCUGGCUGAGCCUCUGCCCUUCCGGCCGGAGGCCCCCCUGUCCGUUGUCGGUGGAGCCACCACCAACAGGUCCACAAAGCUGCUUGUGUCCACAGUUGGCUUUCAAUCAAGGCGCCCAACUUUCAAUUACAAAGACCUUGCAGCUAGUUGAGAGCAACAUACUGCCAUGGCCGAUCUCGAUGUUCUGAUAAAUGCCGAUUCGUCUCACUCCUAGUUUGGUGCAUGAUUAAUUCAAUGGCACGGUUGCAUUCAGGAAACAUAGAGGAGUUCAAACUUAUCAAAUGUGUGUGAUGGGUGUGAGUUAGGAUUUGGGUUUGUUAUAUAUAUAUGGGGUGGGAGAAGUAAGUUUCCUAGAGAUGACGAAUUAAAUAAGAGUGUAACACCC
rnacentral:lncRNA from 1 species